rnacentral:tRNA from 1 species
UGGCUCAGUCAGAAGAGUGUGUGACUCUUGAUCACAUGGUUGUGAGUUCGAGCCCCAC